rnacentral:rRNA from 1 species
AUACGUAGGGGGCGAGCGUUGUCCGGAAUGAUUGGGCGUAAAGGGCGCGUAGGCGGCGCGGUAAGUCUGGAGUGAAAGUCCUGCUUUCAAGGUGGGAAUUGCUUUGGAUACUGCCGCGCUUGAGUGCAGGAGAGGUUAUCGGAAUUCCCGGUGUAGCGGUGAAAUGCGUAGAGAUCGGGAGGAACACCAGUGGCGAAGGCGGGUAACUGGACUGCAACUGACGCUGAGGCGCGAAAGUGUGGGGAGCAAACAGGAUUAGAUACCCUGGUAGUCCACACUGUAAACGAUGAAUGCUAGGUGUAAGAGGUAUCGACCCCUUUUGGGCCGGAGUCAACACAAUAAGCAUUCCGCCUGGGGAGUACGGCCGCAAGGUUGAAACUCAAAUGAAUUGGCGGGG